UGUAUACACAAGAAGACUAAAAGAAAAAGUGUGCUCAGUGGUUUGCCUCCUGACUGGCAACUAUUGAAAAGAUGUACCAGCUUUUUGAACUCAUCUUCGGCUUUUGUUUUGCAAAUAUCCUACUUUUUUCUGUAAUAAUAAGUUUAGAUAUUUCAUUCUUUUAUUGUUAUCCCUUUUUUAUUUUUCACCAAAUUGAGCGUAAGCCUGUCAUUGUUUUGUUGUUCUAUUUGCCAUAUUGAGUUUCAGUUGUAGUUAUGUCAUGCCCCAUUUUUUUUAAGUUUUAGUGACCUGGUGAGGUUUCACUGUAAGCCCCACACAGGUUUCUGAUCUCUCCAGCACACACUCUCUCUCU